AACGAACGCUGGCGGCGUGCCUAACACAUGCAAGUCGAGCGAGAAAGUCCCGGCAACGGGAUGAGUACAGCGGCGAACGGGUGAGUAACGCGUGGGUAAUCUACCCUCCAGCUCGGGAUAACCUGCCGAAAGGUGGGCUAAUACCGGAUGAUGUUCCCGUGGGGAUCCUGCGGGAAGCAAAGGGGGCGGAGCGUAAGACAGCUCUCACUGGA
rnacentral:rRNA from 1 species